rnacentral:rRNA from 1 species
GACGAACGCUGGCGGCGUGCUUAACACAUGCAAGUCGAACGGAAAGGCCCUGCUUUUGUGGGGUGCUCGAGUGGCGAACGGGUGAGUAACACGUGAGUAACCUGCCCUUGCCUUUGGGAUAACUUCAGGAAACUGGGGCUAAUACCGGAUAGGAGCUCCUGCUGCAUGGUGGGGGUUGGAAAGUUUCGGCGGUUGGGGAUGGACUCGCGGCUUAUCAGCUUGUGGGCGGGGUAGUUGCUUACGAAGGCUUGGACGGGUAGCCGGCCUGAGAGGGUGAGCGGCCACAUUGGGACUGAGAUAGGGCGCAGACUCCUACGGGAGGCAGCAGUGGGGAAUAGUGUGCAAUGGGCGGAAGCCUGAUGCAGCAACGCCGCGUGCGGGAUGACGGCCUUCGGGUUGUAAACAGCUUUCGCCUGUGACGAAGCGGGAGUGACGGUAAUGGGUAAAGAAGCACCGGCUAACUACGUG